GAUAAAUAUCUGGCUGGUGAUUUUCGAAAGAUUCGUUUGGAGAGCCGAAAAAUAAAACAGUGAAAUUUUCAGUAUCUUCAUGGAAUUCACAUAUGAUCACUUAUGAUUAUUCAUUUUUUCUUCAUAAGCCACCGAAAAAAUAGCCGUGGAUAUUUUACUCCUAAAUACAACAGUAGCCAGUUGAAGAAAACAAAAAAAAUAAAAACAAGAUGAUAGAGAGAAGUAAUUAAAAUAACGAAUAAUUUCAAUUUAGCAAAUUCAGUUCUUUUCUAUCACUUAUUUUUGAGGUGGUUAAACUGUUUAAAUGAUACCGGCAGUCAUUAGAAGGUAAAUACAGUAUUAAGCCGAAACGUGAGUUACAGAAGUACAAACAGGAAUAUCACUCCGUAGAAGAACUACUCUCCACAAAGAACAAAUCCGCCACCCACAUUACAGACAGAUACAAGUCAGUGGACACAUUGAAAGAGCGAAAAUUGGAACAUUAUCCAAUGAAAGUUCCUUAAACAAUGAUGAAGUGACAUUAAUGUCUUGAAAUAUUGGACCGAUAAUAGAACAACAGAAACAACAAUACAAAAAAAGUCAAAGAUUGCCAGACAACUAUCAGAAGGCAAGCGCGAGCAAAGCUGGACAGAAAAAGCGCGUCGAGGAUGCGCUCAAAGCCUCACUGAAGAGCUUUGAGAUCAGCCCCAAUUCAUGAGAAAUGCAAGCACAAGACGGCUCUGCCUGGCGAAGCUACACCAACAGAAGUACAACCUCCUUGCGUUCAAUCCUCAGAAAACCAACAGAGUCCGACUCUGCGACAGAGGCUUUCGAGCACACAUUGGACUGACUGUCCACAACCGGACACACUGUGCCCCGCCUUCUUCUCCCAUAUGAUGUCCUUUGUCAUCGACGGCGAUGUCGGAUUACGUAAACUGGUCCAAAUAUUCGUCUCAUUAGAUUUAUUCAGAAUACCAGAGCGAUAUUUUCACUGCUUUACCCUGAAAGAUACCUUAUAAAUUCUGGGUAACUUAUUGUUCAGAAUAUAGAAUUAAAAAUAAAAUGUUUUUCUAUAAAAGAUAAACACGUAAUUGGAAACAACACAUUAGUAAAAAGACAAAAAAAAGGACUGAUACUUUGUAAACAAAUAACUAACUGAUACGUGUAAGCAAAGACGCUUGUAUGAAUCUUUUACAUAAUAGCAUUACAAACUCCUGCAGCAAAUUAAAUCAACAUAUACAAUGAAACGUAUAAACGGAUUCGCAAUAUAGCGUCAAAGAAAAAAAUUAAAUAUCACUAUAAAAUCAUCCUUAUUCUCACUGAAGGUCUAGAAGAACCAUUUCGAUAUCUUGCCAAAAUUAUAUAUGUUUUCUCUGAGAAAAAUGUUUUUCGAAAAACGGUCUCAGAAUAAAUGUUGAACUAACAGCCUACGCAGUUGAAUCUAGAAAAAAAUAUACUUCUUCAAGUAAAU
rnacentral:lncRNA from 1 species